rnacentral:rRNA from 1 species
UUGCGCACCUUUUGACUUUGACCUGAAAUCAGGUAGGGCUACCCGCUGAACUUAAGCAUAUCAAUAAGCGGAGGAAAAGAAACUAACAAGGAUUCCCCUAGUAACGGCGAGUGAACCGGGAAGAGCUCAAAUUUGAAAUCUGGCGUGCUCAGUGCGUCCGAGUUGUAAUCUAUAGAGUCGUUUUCCGUGCCGGACUGUGUCCAAGUCCCUUGGAACAGGGUAUCAAAGAGGGUGAUAAUCCCGUACUUGACACAAUGACCGGUGCUCUGUGAUACGUCUUCUACGAGUCGAGUUGUUUGGGAAUGCAGCUCAAAAUGGGUGGUGAGUUCCAUCUAAAGCUAAAUAUUGGCGAGAGACCGAUAGCGAACAAGUACCGUGAGGGAAAGAUGAAAAGCACUUUGGAAAGAGAGUUAAACAGUACGUGAAAUUGUUAAAAGGGAAACGAUUGAAGUCAGUCGUGACUGAGAGGCUCAGCCGGUUCUGCCGGUGUAUUCCCCUCAGUCGGGUCAACAUCAGUUUUGUUCGGUGGAUAAGGGCAGUUGGAAGGUGGCACCCUCGGGUGUGUUAUAGCCAGCUGUCGCAUACAUCGGAUGAGACUGAGGAAUGCAGCUCGCCUUUAUGGCCGGGGUUCGCCCACGUCGAGCU